rnacentral:lncRNA from 1 species
CCUUCUCUUCUUUUUCUUCGAUUUAAAAACGAAUGGAUUUGAUGAGAUUGAAGAGAAAAGGAACGCUAGGGUUCCUUUGAAAUCCGCCAGAGUUAUUCAGUAAUGAAGUGCAAUUUCCUUAAUCAAUUUCUCCUCUCACUUACAUCAAUGAGAAAAGUAGAGGGAGAUAGAGGGAAUUUAGUUUUUCAAGGGAUUUGCAUUUUCCACCAUAGAAAUCCACGGACAAACAUUGUCAUUAUAUAUUCUACUCCAUAAAAUUAUUUAAUGCAGCACGAACAUAGAGUUUGUAUAUAAUAACUUAAUAAAAAAAGAAAUAAAAUAUAUCCGCGGGGGAGAGAGACGGAGAUGGAGAGAAGUAUAGGAAGGGAAAAACAGCUGGAGUUGUCUUGAAACACAAUGACAGUGAAAUCCUGUAUUCCUAUUCCCAGGGCCAGCACUGCAUCCUACUGUUCACAUGUACUAUUGCACACGUCACUCUUUGUUUGUCUAUUAAAUUAAAUACUGAAAUACU